CGGGGCGUAGCUCAGCUUGGUUUAGAGCGCCAUCUUGGGGUGGUGGAGGCCGCUGGUUCGAAUCCAGUCGCUCCGACCA
rnacentral:tRNA from 1 species